ACCGAAUGAACAGCUGAUGAUGACAAAUAAUAAACAAACAAAUAAUUUUAAAGUAAACAAUUGAGACAGACAAUAGUGAUAGGUUCACGAUUUAGUUGAUUAAUACAUUUAUUAUGUUAAGUUUGUAUUAUUGUGGUGCUUGAUAAGUUUUGUUAGCUAAUAAUCAAUUCAUGUAAGAAAAAGUUCAUGUUGUUAUACUUUUAGAAUUUUUGUAGGCCUCUAGCGAGUGAGUUGGAAUCAACAAGUUAUAUACUUUGCUGGCAAAAUGGUUUAUGCAUUUAUAAUGCAAACAUUGGAUUCUGAAGAACCAGAACUAGCCUACUACAGAUUUUAUUCGGCUUGGCUCAGUAAUGAUACUCCAUUUAUGACUGGUAAUGAAAAAGAAAAAGGAUGUUUGUAUGAUUCUAGUAUUGAGAAGAAAAAUCUACUAUAUUUUAUUAUAAAGAAGGUUCACAUGCUGUACUCUUUAAAGCUAAAGCAAUCUCUUAUACCAAUCCAAAACAAAGAUAUGAAGACAAUAAUAAGAGGAUCUCACAAAGAAAGUAACUGGAAAUCCCAAGAAUUUAAUGUUGUUUGGGAAGGUGUACCUGGCAUUGGAUUCUCAUUAAUAUUUGAAAAAGAUGGAAAUAUGCUACUUGCUCAAAAUGUUCUAGAUCUAAUAGUGUCUGAACUGGAAAAACACAUUCAGCUUGUUUCAUAUCCCUCAAGCGCAGUAAAAACACUAGACACCAUUGCUAUGAUCGUAGAUAAAUUUUUACCUGGUGGACAAUUACUUUUUCUAAACAGCACUUUGGUAAAGAACUUAGAAAGACAACUGGAAGCUGAUUUAAAAUCAUAAUUCUGCACCCCACAGCUUUACCAUCUUUUUGAUUAAAUUACAUAUGAAUGAUUCAUUCCAUUGAAAGGUCAAACAGGAAAAAAGGGAAGUGGUGGAGUCCUAGCAUUUUUAAUAUUGUUCCAUUAUAUAACAUUAGUUUUAAUUAUUUCAUAAAUGUUAAAGAACAAAUUUUUUAUAAAUAUUAUAGUUCAAAUAAAGAAUUAUAAGCCUUUUUAUGAGGAUAUGAUGUAAUUGAUAAAUUAAAGUACUUUUUCAAAAUAGA